GUGAGGAAUUUUGCGCAAUGGCCGCAAGGCUGACGCAGCAACGCCGCGUGGGUGAUGAAGGCCUUCGGGUCGUAAAGCCCUGUCAGGUGGGAAGAAAGGCCUGGAGAGGAAAGGUUUCAGGUUUGACGGUACCACCAGAGGAAGCACCGGCUAACUCCGUGCCAGCAGCCGCGGUAAUACGGAGGGUGCGAGCGUUAUUCGGAAUUACUGGGCGUCAAGCGCGUGUAGGCGGGGGGACAAGGCUGAUGUGAAAGCCCUGGGCUUAACCUUGGAAGCGCAUUUGAAACUGUUUUUCUUGAGUACUGGAGAGGAAGGGGGAAUUCCCGGUGUAGAGGUGAAAUUCGUAGAGAUCGGGAGGAAUACCAGUGGCGUAGGCGCCCUUCUGGACGGUAACUGACGCUGAGACGCGAAAGCGUGGGGAGCAAACAGGAUUAGAUACCCUAGUAGUCC
rnacentral:rRNA from 1 species